UUUUAUUUGAGAGUUUGAUCCUGGCUCAGGAUGAACGCUGGCGGCGUGCCUAACACAUGCAAGUUGAGCGAUUUACUUCGGUAAAGAGCGGCGGACGGGUGAGUAACGCGUGGGUAACCUACCCUGUACACACGGAUAACAUACCGAAAGGUAUGCUAAUACGGGAUAAUAUAUUUGAGAGGCAUCUCUUGAAUAUCAAAGGUGAGCCAGUACAGGAUGGACCCGCGUCUGAUUAGCUAGUUGGUAAGGUAACGGCUUACCAAGGCGACGAUCAGUAGCCGACCUGAGAGGGUGAUCGGCCACAUUGGAACUGAGACACGGUCCAAACUCCUACGGGAGGCAGCAGUGGGGAAUAUUGCACAAUGGGCGAAAGCCUGAUGCAGCAACGCCGCGUGAGUGAUGAAGGCCUUCGGGUCGUAAAACUCUGUCCUCAAGGAAGAUAAUGACGGUACUUGAGGAGGAAGCCCCGGCUAACUACGUGCCAGCAGCCGCGGUAAUACGUAGGGGGCUAGCGUUAUCCGGAUUUACUGGGCG
rnacentral:rRNA from 1 species